UGAACGCUGGCGGCGUGCCUAAUACAUGCAAGUCGAGCGAACGGACGAGAAGCUUGCUUCUCUGAUGUUAGCGGCGGACGGGUGAGUAACACGUGGAUAACCUACCUAUAAGACUGGGAUAACUUCGGGAAACCGGAGCUAAUACCGGAUAAUAUUUUGAACCGCAUGGUUCAAAAGUGAAAGACGGUCUUGCUGUCACUUAUAGAUGGAUCCGCGCUGCAUUAGCUAGUUGGUAAGGUAACGGCUUACCAAGGCAACGAUGCAUAGCCGACCUGAGAGGGUGAUCGGCCACACUGGAACUGAGACACGGUCCAGACUCCUACGGGAGGCAGCAGUAGGGAAUCGUCCGCAAUGGGCGAAAGCCUGACGGAGCAACGCCGCGUGAGUGAUGAAGGUCGUCGGAUCGUAAAACUCUGUUAUUAGGGAAGAACAUAUGUGUAAGUAACUGGGCACAUCGUGACGGUACCUAAUCAGAAAGCCACGGCUAACUACG
rnacentral:rRNA from 1 species